rnacentral:rRNA from 1 species
CGAACGCUGGCGGCGUGCUUAACACAUGCAAGUCGAACGCGAAAUUUUUUCUUCGGAGAAAAGAGUAGAGUGGCGCACGGGUGAGUAACGCGUAAGUAAUCUACCCUGGUAUCUGGGAUAACCCACCGAAAGGUGAGCUAAUACCGGAUAAUCUGAUUUAUCAGGAAAGGUGGCCUCUUCAUGAAAGCUACUGUACUAGGAGGAGCUUGCGUACCAUUAGCUAGUUGGUAGGGUAAUGGCCUACCAAGGCGACGAUGGUUAGCGGGUCUGAGAGGAUGAUCCGCCACACUGGAACUGAAACACGGACCAGACUCCUACGGGAGGCAGCAGUGAGGAAUAUUGCGCAAUGGGGGAAACCCUGACGCAGCGACGCCGCGUGGAUGAUGAAGGCCUUAGGGUCGUAAAAUCCUGUCAGAUGGGAAGAAAUGCUAUAAUCUUAAUACGUUUAUAGUUUGACGGUACCAUCAAAGGAAGCACCGGCUAACUCC